rnacentral:rRNA from 1 species
AUUGAACGCUGGCGGCAGGCCUAACACAUGCAAGUCGAACGAGUGGCGGACGGGUGAGUAAUGUCUGGGAAACUGCCUGAUGGAGGGGGAUAACUACUGGAAACGGUAGCUAAUACCGCAUACCAUCGGAUGUGCCCAGAUGGGAUUAGCUAGUAGGUGGGGUAAAGGCUCACCUAGGCGCCGAUCCCUAGCUGGUCUGAGAGGAUGACCAGCCACACGGGAAAUGAGACACGGACCAUGCUCCUACGGGAGGCCUCAGUGGGGAAUAUGGCGCAAUGGGGGCAAGCCUGAUGCAGCCAUGCCACGGGUAUGAAGAAGGCCUUCGGGUUGUAAAGUACUUUCAGCGGGGAGGCGUUACCCGCAGAAGAAGCACCGGCUAACUCCGUGCCAGCAGCCGCGGUAAUUC